rnacentral:rRNA from 1 species
AUUGAACGCUAGCGGGAUGCUUAACACAUGCAAGUCGAACGAGUGGCGGACGGGUGAGUAAUGUAUCGGAACGUGCCCAGUAGAGGGGGAUAACUACUGGAAAGAGUGGCUAAUACCGCAUACUAUUGGAGCGGCCGAGAUCGGAUUAGCUCGUUGGUGGGGUAAAGGCUCACCAAGGCAACGAUCCGUAGCUGGUCUGAGAGGAAGACCAGCCACACUGGGACUGAGACACGGCCCAGACUCCUACGGGAGGCAGCAGUGGGGAAUUUUGGACAAUGGGGGAAACCCUGAUCCAGCCAUCCCGCGUGUAUGAGAAGGCCUUCGGGUUGUAAAGUACUUUUGGCAGAGAAGCGGUAUCCGCAGAAGAAGCACCGGCUAACUACGUGCCAGCAGCCGCGGUAAUAC